AAUAUUGGUGGGGGAAUCGGAAGCAUCUCAGACAUUUUAAAUGCAUGACUGCUGAUUGCUGAAAAUGAAAUAUGCAGUUAUGGAUCCAUUCUAUAGUUGGAAUAUGAGACUCCAUAUGUGUGUGUAUGUUUAUUCUUGCUUGAAUCUGGUGCUGAAGGUGUGAACAGGUGAGUCCUGCUUACAAGUUCGUCUAAAGAAUUUUCAUGUUUUAAAGCCAUUGAGACAUUUAUCCCUCCACCUUCUAUAUCUAUUUAUCGUCAAUUAGUGCAAUAGUGGUCGCUGGUGUAUUACCCAUUCCACACUAGCUUGUUUCCUUUUUGUUUUGGGGGUUAUUUGCAGUGGAAACUAUUGUUUGUGCUUGCCACUCAUUAAAUCAUCUUUGAAAAUCUAACGAGCGGAAGCAGAAUAGCUCAUUUUAUACCAUUGGUUGCAGUUUUGCAUCCACAUUGCCAAUUUGUAUUUUUUUAAGCACAAGCAAUAGUUAUGUGCAUCAAUUGCAUAUUCUUCUGAUAAUACUAAAUUCAAUAUGCGGAUCAAUCUUUAUAUAUGUAUAAGAUACCAAUUGGUGAUCCUUUGUACAUAGAAUAAUCAGGGUCCGAUCCACUUGGAUGUACCUCAAUUUGCUGUUAUAUGAUUUACUGUUUUAGGUUGUAGUGGUAGCAUAAAAAGUCAUAAUAGGGAAUAAUAAGUAACAGUUGACUCAGAUAGUGUUUGAGUAUGUUUCUCCUAAAGCUAAUUGAUUUUAUUAAGCAUUCAUAAGUUCUUAGAAAUUCAGAUAGCCAUUUUCUCUAGGUUGCAAUAUGUGUGGAUCAGUUGAUGCUCAAUAUUUUCUGGAUAUUACAUGAACUCUGAAAUACAAUUUUUUUCUCUCUUAGGUUUUAACCUUUGGGUGGGGGUAUUUUUUGUAACAUGGAAUAGUGAUGAAAAUCAUUUCUAGAAUUUAUAAUGAGCAGUUAUGUUCUAACUUUCUCUGGCUGUAGAAUUACUGGAGAUGGGUUAGUAGUUUUACCCUUUCAAUUAGCAUGAAUUUAUAUAGAAGGUUGGUUUUGAACUAAAUUGAUGCCCUCUUGUUCACUGAUUAUCUAUGAACUGAAAUGAUGUCCGGCUAUAGUACAUUGGUCUUUCAUAUGUUGGUUGUGCAUACAUGGCCUUAGCUUAUCCUUCUCUACUUUCAUUUCACUAAAAAUGGAAAUAUCGCCUGAAACUUUUAUGCAUGUGCUACUGCUACUACAUGACCGACUUGACCAAGCCCACUCUUCCAAGACUAUCAAUUUACCGCAACCUCCAAGUUACGGCGACGCAUGGGCGGGGCAGCCACCCCCUAGAUCCCGUUAGCACAAUGUCAUAAAAAUAUAUUUAUACUGAUUGUUGCGCAAAGUAGAAGGCUAUUGUUUGUAGUUAUUAGUUUAUUUCCUCUAUAUAGAAUGACACGGUUUAUUGUGUGUCCAAGAGGAAGGAAAAAUAGAUUUAUAGGUGUUAUGUGACUUACCUUUUAAAAGGAAUAACUUCAUGCUAUUGAGUCUUCACUAUUUGCUUCA